rnacentral:rRNA from 1 species
UACGUAGGGUCCGAGCGUUGUCCGGAAUUACUGGGCGUAAAGGGCUCGUAGGUGGCCAACUAAGUCAGACGUGAAAUCCCUCGGCUUAACCGGGGAACUGCGUGUGAUACUGGAUGGCUUGGAUUUGGGAGAGGGAUGCGGAAUUCCAGGUGUAGCGGUGAAAUGCGUAGAUAUCUGGAGGAACACCGGUGGCGAAGGCGGCAUCCUGGACCAAUAUUGACGCUGAGGAGCGAAAGCCAGGGGAGCAAACGGG